CUUGAACGCUGGCGGCAGGCCUAACACAUGCAAGUCGAACGAGUGGCGGACGGGUGAGUAAUGUCUGGGAACCUGCCUGAUGGAGGGGGAUAACUACUGGAAACGGUAGCUAAUACCGCAUCCCAUCGGAUGAGCCAAGAUGGGAUUAGAUAGUAGGUGGGGUAAAGGCUAACCUAGGCGACGAUCCCGAGCUGGGCUGAGAUGAUGACCCGCCAAACCGGAACGGAGACACGGUCCAGACUCCGACGGGAGGCAGCAGUGGGGAAUAUUGCACGAUGGGUGCAGGCCUGAUGCAGGCAUGCCGAGUGUAUGAAGGAGGCCUUAGGGUUGUAAAGUACUUUCGGCGAGGAGGCGUUACCCGCAGAAGAAGCACCGGCUAACUCCGUGCCAGCAGCCGCGGUAAUAC
rnacentral:rRNA from 1 species